rnacentral:rRNA from 1 species
GAUGAACGCUGACAGAAUGCUUAACACAUGCAAGUCUACUUGAACUUCGGUUUGGGUGGCGGACGGGUGAGUAACGCGUAAAGAACUUGCCUCACAGAUAGGGACAACGUUUGGAAACGAAUGCUAAUACCUGAUAUUAUGAUUUUAGGGCAUCCUAGAAUUAUGAAAGCUAUAUGCACUGUGAGAGAGCUUUGCGUCCCAUUAGCUAGUUGGAGAGGUAACGGCUCACCAAGGCGAUGAUGGGUAGCCGGCCUGAGAGGGUGAUCGGCCACAAGGGGACUGAGACACGGCCCUUACUCCUACGGGAGGCAGCAGUGGGGAAUAUUGGACAAUGGACCAAGAGUCUGAUCCAGCAAUUCUGUGUGCACGAUGAAGUUUUUCGGAAUGUAAAGUGCUUUCAGUUGGGAAGAAAAAAAUGACGGUACCAACAGAAGAAGUGACGGCUAAAUACGUG